UGCCAACACACUGGUUGUGAAGAACCCUUUCCAGAGAAAUAUAAAAGGAAAUGACUGAAACUUGUGUUGGGGAGGAUUCAGUGUCUGCUGAGGCUCAUGUGAAUGUGAUACAAAGUGAGUAUCAGAAAACACCUCCAGACACCUGGACUGUCAAAGAGCACACGGGAGGAACAUUCUCCUGGAGACGCUGAGAAAGCACGGAAGGAAUGUCUGUGGAGGAUGUAUUUAAAAACACUCAUACUUAAGAACACCUGCUGGAGGGGACCCUGCUACACCCUUUCCUACCAUACACCUCAUGGAUUCUGACUGGAAAAUGGUAAUCAUAGGAGGAGGGCUCAGUGUGAUGACAGAAGAUGGAAUAGACGUGUGCCAGUGCACCAGCCUUGAUGAAGCCUUCAUAACAGCCUUCUGGAUGUAUUUUGCUUUCAACAUUACAUAUCCAACAUACCUGAGAAAGACAUUGACUUUUCUUCAGAGGCACAUUGUCAACAUUGUGGAAGAUGGAGACAAGCACUGCCAGUAACUUUACUCUGAGUGAUCAGCCUUUUGUAUUAGAUCCUCAUGCCUCAACUCUACCAUUGCCCAAAGUGCACUCAAAGGACAUCCACUCUUUUGAAGUUAAUCCAACAUGUUGGAGUUGUACAUGCACAUGAACCAAAUAUUAGUAUAACCUGUGAUAUAGAUGAGUGCCAGUCAACUUUUUUGUCAUUCCAUUCUUUUAGAAAACAUGCACAGGAAUCAUAUGUACUUUUGGUAACAAAAAUUACAGUCUCAGUGAAGAGUCUGCAGUACAAUUAUAUUAUAAUAUAAUGGAGAAGGGUCUGGCUGCAGACUUGCACUUGCACUCUCAGACACUUGCGCUUCUGCUAAUGACAA